rnacentral:lncRNA from 1 species
GGGCAGGAGCCUCCUGCUUCCCAGGUGAAGCUGCAGCCACCCAGCUGUGUGUGCGGACCCGGGCAUUUCUGUGCUCUUGGGGGCCAGGGACAGGCAGGGUCCCCGCCUCCUGGGGUGCAGCUACAGCCGCCCAAGCCAUGGCUACGGACCCAAGCAUCUCUGCACUCUCCGGGCCCGGGAAGCAGCCCCUUGCCCCAGCAGGCUCAGAAGUGCCUGCUCUCACUGCCUGGCCUCUCCCGGCGCCCUCUCCGAUCUCAGAGCAAAGUUGAGGCCAAGCCCAGAUAUUGAAGCUAUAAAGUUCUCUCUUAGCACUGCUUUGCUGUAUCUCACAGAUUUUGGUAGGCUGCAUUUCCAUGCUGAGGGAAUUCAUCACCACUAGACGGGACCUACAAGCAACACUCAAAGAGAAACUGCCUCAAAAAUGGCAAUAUCUUCUUUGUGCUUAAUGACCCUAACUUCAUGAAGACUUGGCAUAUAGGUUUCAUCCAUGUUGCAGCAUGUGUUAGAAUUUCACUUACUUCUAGAUUCAAUGCAAUCCCCAUCAAAAUAUCAACAUCAUUCUUCACAAAAUUAGCAAAAACAAUUUAAAAAUUUAUAUGUAACCGAAAAAGAAAAGUGCAAAUAGUGCAAGCAAUCCUGAGCUGAAAGGACAAAGCUGAAGGCAUCACAUCACACUACCUGACUUCAAAAUACAUUACAAGGCUAUAGUAAACGACAUGGUAUUGGUAAAAAUACACACAUGGAACAAUGAAACAAUUUAAAAAGCAGAAAAUGUCAUGUAUUUAUAACUAACUAAUCUUCGACAAAGAUGACAAGAGCUUACAUUGAGGAAAGAGAACCCUCUUCAAUAAAUGGUGCUGGAAAAAUUGGAGAGCCAAAUGCAGACAAAUAAAACUGGAAUUCUAUCUUCCACACAUGCAACAAUUAACUUACAACAAAUUAAAGAUUUAAAUAUAAGACAAGAAAAUACAAAAAAUACUAAAAGAAAAUCUAGGAAAAAGUAUUUUGGACAUUUGUCUAGGCAAAACAUUUAUGAAGACCUCAAAAGCACAAGCAACAAAAACAAAAACAGACAAGUGGGGCUAUAUUAAACUAAACAGCUUCUGCACAGCAGAGGAAACAACACAGUGAGGAGAAAACCUGUUGAAUGAGAGAAAAUAUUUGCAAACUAUCCACCCAACAGGGGCCUAAUGUCAAGAAUAUAAAAGGAACUCAAACAACUGAACAGGAAAAGACCAACUAAUUACAAAUAAUCCCAUACAACAGCGGGCAAAGGACAUGAAUAGAUAUUUUUCAGAAGAAAACACAAAUGGCCACAGGUGCAGCUCAUGCCUAUAAUUCCAGUACUUUGGGAGGCUGAGGUGGGCAGAUUGCUUGAGCUCAGGAGUUGGAAACCAGCCUGGGUAACAUGGUGAAUCCCCAACUCUACAAACAAAUACAAAAAUUAGCCAGGUGUGGUGGCAUGUACCUGUGAUCCCAGCUACUCAGGAGGCUGCACUGGGAGGGUCACAUUGAGCCUGGGAGGUCGAAGCUACAGUAAGCAGUGAUCAUGCCAACACACUCCAGCCUGGGUGACAAAGUGAGACCCUGUCUCAAAUAAAUAAAUAAAUAAAUUAAAUUAAUUAAAUAUUUGCAUUCAUUGUACAGAUGGCGGACAAAGGACCUGAUGUUAGGUUUGCCUGACAAUGACCCUCUACAUCAUAAACAGCAACAUAGCUCUUUUUUAAUAUUAAUGAAGUGUCCAUUAAUUAUUUCCUGUUUUCUUAGAACAGAAAAAAAAUAGGAGACUUUUUGGAGUCCUUUAAACUGGAGAUAUUAGUGGUGUAGAUAGCAUGUUAGCAAGCAGGAUUGGAGAAAUAUUUGAAAAACAAGAGUUGACAAGAUCAAUUUCCUGGAUGUAGCAUGGAUGUUGAUUAAAGAAACAAAUUUUUGAGGUUAAAUUACUGGAUUACAAUUCUGACUUCAUUAUUUACCAGCUGUGUGAUCUUGGGCAAGUUACUUGAUUUUCCUGUAUCUUAGACUUCUCAUUUAUAGAUUAGUAACAAUAUUUAUUUCUUUGGUACUUUAUAACAAUUAAAUAAAUUGAAAGACAAGGCUCUUAGA